GACGAACGCUGGCGGCGUGCUUAAUACAUGCAAGUAGAACGCAAAAGGCGGAGUUUGCUUCUCUGGAUGAGUGGCGAACGGGUGAGUAACGCGUAGGUAACCUGCCUUGUAGUGGGGGAUAACUAUUGGAAACGAGAGCUAAUACCGCAUAAUAGUAGAUGUUGCAUGACAUUUGUUGAAAAGUUGCGGUUGCAUGGCUAGCAGAUGGGCCUGCGCUGUAUUAGCUAGUGGGUGGGGUAACGGCUCACCAAGGCGGCGAUACAUAGCCGACCUGUGAGGGUGAUCGGCCACACUGGGACUGAGACACGGCCCAGACUCCUACGGGAGGCAGCAGUAGGGAAUCUUCGGCAAUGGACGGAAGUCUGACCGAGCAACGCCGCGUGAGUGAAGAAGGUUUUCGGAUCGUAAAGCUCUGUUGUAAGAGAAGAACGAGUGUGAGAGUGGAAAGUUCACACUGUGACGGUAUCUUACCAGAAAGGGACGGCUAACUACGUG
rnacentral:rRNA from 1 species